GAUGAAGAACGCAGCGAAAUGCGAUAAGUAGUGUGAAUUGCAGAAUUCCGUGAAUCAUCGAAUCUUUGAACGCACAUUGCGCCUUCUGGUAUUCCGGAAGGCAUGCCUGUUCGAGAGUCAUUAACAACCGUUUCGAUCCCUUUCUUUCAGAAAUUACAAAGAGGAAAAGGGUUUGGUUAUGGUGGAGGAGGGAAAGGGAGCGUUUAGCCUGUAAAAAAAGAGGCUGUGUUCCGCCUCCCCCCCAAAAUUGUACAGGCGGUCGUGUGCGCCCACGCAUCGAGGUGUUGUAAAAGCUGCCACGGCACUUUUCACCUGUGCAGUGCGAGAUUGGCCAGCCGGUUUAAAAACCCCUCCAAACAAUCAAAGGUUGACCUCGGAUCAGGUAGGGAUACCCGCUGAACUUAAGCAUAUCAAUAAGCGGAGA
rnacentral:misc_RNA from 1 species